ensembl:lncRNA
CAGCACUCAGUGACUGUAGCAGCGUUAUCAGUAAUACUAACUUCACCAUAACAGUCUAAUAAGUUCAGUCUUUAUUGGCAUGCAAAUAUAAAUAAAUUCAUUGUUAAAAAUUACAGAUUGUGUCAUUAGUUACAUGUUAAUUACACGUUUGUAGAUAUCAGAAUAUGUGGGCAGAAGAAAGAAAAAUAUGUUAGCUGUCACACUACUAAAGUAAGACUGACAUCACACAGGGACAGGUGUAUUAUUGAUUAGGACAUUAUAAACUAAUAAUUGUUGUAGAACAUAUGUGUGGUCACAUUUAGCUCCAGAACAGGACAGAAACCAAAUCUUAAAACGUAUAAAACCACCAAAUAUUAAUUAAUAUUAAUUAAAUCAUUAAUAAACACCAAAAUUAAUUAAAUGUGCCUUUGCAUAGGCAAACUUAAUAAUAAUAAUAAUAAUAAUAAUAAUAAUGAUGUUGAACUGAUAUUAAGGGGAAGAUAUGGAAACCCCAACAAAACACGCAUUAAGAGGCUCUAAUGUCUGUCUCAAUCUCACGGCCCAUGUCACCUCUACUUGCGGCCCACAUAAUGACGUGAAGAAAUAUUUUUUUUAAAUUAUUAUUCAAAAAAUGAUUUAAUAUGAAGGCAAUAGUCAGAGUGUUACAGGCAAAGCCCUAAAGAAUGUAGCCUCAUGGGCAGUGUAGUCCGUGCUGCAGGGAGAAUGGACUGCUAUACCCGUGAUGUGUCUGUGAGCGUGAGGAGAGAAAAACGAGAGUUGAAAAGUCCGAGCUGUCACGGAGCAGAAACGGGAGCUGGAAGCAUGUAAAUAUAAUAAUAACCACAGCAGCCAAGAAGAGUGCCUGACGAGCCCAGCUGUAAGUAAGCUAUUAAGACUCAACUGUACACUGUGUUCGUGUUUUCCUCCGGAAAAAAUAAGUUCCGUUGGAGCCUUUCAACGCCUCUCUCUGUCUCUCGCUAGCAAAGUUGACCCAGACAACAAAGUAAAGCUAGUUUUCGGCUAUGAGCCCGACACGAACCCACCGUAUUAGUCAGAGGUCCCUUUACUACUGUUCGGAGCCGCGGGCCUGUUUUAUAUACGCGCGGAAUAGUUUUCUAUAAGAGAUCGCUGCAAAAAGUGCAGCCUUACCUAAUGUCCACCUACUGUUACUCAUUUAUAUUAAGAUUUAAACAUCUAGUUGGUAUUGGUAUGGCGAGUAACCUUCAGUAAUAGUAAUAAAUCACACAGCAAUAGUACAUUCAUGUAGCUGUAAAAAGCAUGAUAAUAUAUUAAGUAAUCCAAAGUAUUCAGAAUACGUUACUCUCAAUUAGUAAUGUAAUAGAAUACGUUACAAAAUACAUUUUGGGGCAUGUAAUCUGUAAUGGAAUACAUUUUAAAAGUAACCUUCCCAACACUGGUUAUUACAUAUUUCUCCAAUGGAAAAGUGUCUUUUUUUGUAAGAGAAGUUCCAGAUGUUGAUCCACUGCUGCUGAUGGAGAACCAGAGGACGGCUCUGGACCAAUGGAAGCAUCCAGGGUAGAUUUAUGGGAGUAUCACCUGACAAGCAACAGGUAACACUAGUCUGCAGGGCAGAAGGAAGGACCCACAUGCUGAGCAAUGGAAAGGUUUGAACAGGUUUAUUUACAAGUUGAGGUUAUGAUAUUUCCAAGAAAACACACAGAGAGAAAACCAGGAGUGGGAGAAAAAAUAACAUGCAGGAUGAAACGUUUUUGGGAACCAGUCUGAACAUAAAUCACCAAAAGUAUCAGCCAAUAGUCCGGGUGAGAUUCCACCAUCAGCCUGCACAGUCUGAGGUGAACAAGGAAGAUCAUUUUAACACUGGAUGGAGAAAACAUGUAAAAACUGACUCGCUGCACGUCUUGUGGUACAAAAUUGUGUAACUCAAAAGUGGAACCUGGUUGAUCUCUUCCACACAAAGCCGAUGUUUGGACAUCAUGGCUGCUUUGCUGCAUUCAGUCGACAGCUUUAACUAUGAAACCAGUUCAGCUGUACCUGAGCUGAGUGUGUUAGUUGUUUUUAAAUCAUUGACUCAUUUCCCAAAUUCCUUCAUGCACAGAGUUUUUAUUAGCUGCAGGAAGUGAAAACAAGCUUUGCUGUGAAUUAAACUGAAAUGUGAGAUUCAGUAACAGAAAUCUAACAGGGUGACACAGAGGCACAUGCAGUUUAUAAAAGAAAUGAAAUAUAAAUAAAACGAAAGCAACUAAUUCAGUCAAAAAAAACAAUAACCUGAAAUGUUUUCUUUCUGGAAACUCUCAGUUGGGAAUUUCUCAUGUGGUCUCAGGUAUUUUCAGCAUCGUUGUCCGUGAUCAUGCGAUGGACCUCCAGCUUAUCGUAUACUGUGGUCAGGUUGGUGUGGUAGAUCGUUGUUGAUGACUCUGGUAAAUUUUCCCCCUGGAGAGGAGAAAAUACAGGCAUCAGAUAACAGAGUAAAGUGGAAGAGAUGAAAUAGAUACUGCUGUUCCAGUAACAGCAUCAGGGCGUUCCUGUUAUCACAGUCCAUCCUGCUGAUGUAAACAGGGCUGCUGAGCAUGACUCAAUAAAUGUCAGGAAAUGAGCUUCAAGGUUAUUGUUUUAUUUUCCUUGGAAAAAAGAAGGAAUUCUCCAAAAUGUUCAUGUCAGGUAAACAACGCUGUAAACGCAGACACCACACCAGCCGAGUAUUUAUGGUAGACACACGCACACGCACACACACACACUCAGGGAUUGAACCACAGCCUUCUGAUUGGCAGAUGACCUGUGCACACCUGAGCCUUUGUGUGCUGCAGCUGCUAUUUGCAUUCAGUUUCCAGGAACUGGUGAGAACAAACACAGCAUGUUUGCUAACAGACAUGAUGACAUCUGCCCUGGAGACAGGCUGGAUGAGCAUAGCUGCUAAUGAUAGAGUUUCUCAGUGAAACAUCACCAACCUGUCUGUUGUUGGUUAUUUGUAUUUCACUAUAUUGGACCUCUUCCUGCAUGCCUGCGGGGCCUGCAAAACAUACAAAGCUGAAGUUAAAUUUAAACUGAUAUCACACUUUAAAACCACAAACUGACAAGAAAGAGUGAAACAAAAAAGUGAAAGAACAGAAAAUAAUCAGGUGAUGGACGCAUGGACGCAAUAAAAUGCUUCUGAUGAUUUAUGGUUCAGAGGAGAAAAAAGAGGAAGCAGGAAUAAACUCUCAGAAAUCACGCAGCAAAAAUGUUUGGGAAAGUACAAGAGGAUGCUGGAAAAUGGGGAAAACUGUGGGGAAGUCCAUCGUGUUACAAAGUAAACCACAUCAGCCACACCUGUGCUGGCUUUUCUGACCAUCACAGCUCUCUCUACAAUCCUGUGGAGUCUUUAGUUUAGAAAUCUCCAUGAGAAGACAGCUGCUGCUGCCUGGAGCUAUAGAUUUGAACUGAAUGACAGAAAAUGAAAGCACAUGGAAACAAUAACACACAAAGACUCUGUAAGGUUUGUACCAGUCAGCACAAACUGUUAAAUACAACUUUCUUCAUAAAAACUGAAGUUGAACCAGCAGAGAAAGUUAUUCAUGUGUAUAUAAAACGAGUCUCAGUGAAACCAGAAUGAAUCCACAGAGAUUCAUGUUCAUGCGAAACAAAUGUCUCCAUAGUAACUCUGUUUGCAUCACAUCCUCCGUCAGGAAGGUGACCCUGGUGGUCAUAGAAACACUUCAGGUGCUUGGCUGCACAAAGGAGAGAUACACAACCCUUACAUGACCUUCAGACUCACAAACAUACCUGUGCUGUGUGCUUGGCUGACUCUAGAUGAGCGUUUGACUCUUGCAAACGCUGAGUGAGCACAGACACGUCGAGGCCUGAAGCAAACUCUAAAACUCUCACAGCCGUCGCAAAAACAAAGAACAGGAGGAGAAAAAACUGUUCACCUCCAUGUAACAUCUGGCAGAUGUUAUGAUGUUCAUAAAAGGAGAAGUUCUAAGUUCCCCUCUGCUUUUAAUUAAACUGAGCUUCCUCUUAUAAUUACCUAUAAUACAGCAGCAACGCUGAACCGAUGCUAACACUAAUCAACAGCGUGCAUGAAUUUUAGGCGAAGUGUUAAAUUCAUGAGUUAAAAAGGUAAAAAUAAGUAUCUUUAUUUAUGUACCCAGUGUGUGUGUACAGGGUGUUUCUAAAAGCAGCAUGAUGUGAGGUUACUGACUCAGCAGCCAGUUGACGCCUGAUAACGAGCCGAAGGUUAAAAUCUCACACAGUCUUUCUAACUUCAUCUACAGACUUCCCGUCUGCCAUCAAGUGUUAUUUCCCCUCCUGCUCCUCUUCUCGGUUUGCUUCACCAGCUCUGUGCAGGCUUCAGGUAUGAACUUUGACUCUCAUGCAUCAGUGGAGUGUGACUCUGCAGCGCUGCAAACCUGAUAGAAGAGAAGGUGUCGAACCUCUGAGGAGCCACAGCUUUGCUCUUUAUGUGCCCAACACGGAGCUGAGCUACAUCAGAGCUCUCAACUCUGAUUAAUCACACAAUCAGAUCAAAUCACCUGGUGGAGUUAAUGCACUACAACUGUCACCAAGGUGCUGCUUAGCAACCACCAUUAAACAGCAGGAUGGAGGAAGAACUGCAAACCAACUAAGGUCUGUGAAGCAGGAUUUCAUCAUAGUCGGGUGAUGACAGGGUUAACCUGGUGUUCAGUAUUACCAAAGCCUCUGAGGUAAAUCACCCGAGUAAGAGAUCAGCAGGUAUGAGGUCACUGCCUGAUGAUGAGUCAGGUCUCCAUAAAACAGAGUCGCCGUUCCCAGAAGAGUCCUUGGAGCUUUGUGUGGACAGUGGGAGGGUCUAAAGUUUCCCCACUAGUGUCAAAUCUCUGUUUUAUUUUCUCCUAAAACAGGAUCUUAUAUCAAAUGUUCAUGUUUGAGUUCUUUAUUUUCACACCUCAUGAAGCGAUAACCAGCUUUGUGUAACAGCUGACUGCUGAUGUUUGGUAAGUGAUCCUGAUGAUGGAAAGAUAACAACUGUAAAUCGUCAUAACUCACUUUGAUUGUCUAACACACUUUCUCAGGCUUCUGUACAUGUUGAACCUGUGUUUUUAUAUCACUGGAAACUGAAUGUGAGUAUUUUUAAAGCAUUUUAAAGCUUCUUUUUAAAAAUUGUGAUUUAGAUCAAACUGCCUGGACCUGACAGCUGACAUGAGAGGAGAUUAUUUUCAUUCGUUCUCAUAGUUCAAAACUCAGGUCGUUCUCACAUGGACAGGAAGAGUUUUAUUCUCUGCAGGGUUUGCAGCCACACAUGUGUAAGAGGAGCUGAAGUCCUGUUUGUGCACAGUGAGAGGCAGAGAGAGCGCAGAGCUGCUCUGGUUCAGUCUCUGCUCGUCUUUAAACCACAGCAGUUUGGUCUCUCUGUCCACCAAACACAGUAAGGAGCAGCUCUCAGAGCUCACACUCACUUUCUUCACUGCAGGAGUCGGUACAGAGUCUGGGGACGAAAGUUGAUGGAGAAUAAAAAUAAACAUCAGAAAAAUGUUUUUUUACUUUCAGGACAGCAGAGCUCUGGUUAUAAUUGCUUUAAUGCAGUCAGUGAACAUUAAUAUGAAAUUGCUCAUCUCAAAUUUUAAUUUUUGUACCGUAGCAGCUUUGCCUGAUUUUUAGCCCCGCCCCAUACCAGCCUUCUUCUGAUUGGCUGUCCCUCACAAAAACCUGUUUUGAAUAAUGCCGGCUUCUCUGAUUCGAUCACGUUUUUAUCACAACAGAAAUAUUGCUAAGUGCUGCUGUGUAACACUGAAGGGAAAUCAUGUAUUAUAUAAAUAACACAUGCUCCAUGUUUG